ensembl:lncRNA
GCCUGCCUUCCUUCCCGGCUUUCGGAGGUACCCCCAAUCCAAUCCCACUCUGUCCUCUCCUUUGCCUCGACGCCAAAGUCCUUAGCACCAGCCCGGCAUGUACACGGUCCGGCGAGGGGCCGAGGGCUCUGCGCUCCAGGGCCUGGGCAGCAGAGAGGAGACCGGGGGUCAGGGGCCAAGGGGACGGAGCCUGAACUCCGGGUCCUCUCUGGGCAUUGCCCCGCGCGUGCCCUUGGCAGUGCAGCUUGGUCACGCUCGCUGAAUACGUUCCAGUCUCUGUCCGGAACGCUCCGGGGACUUUGGUUUGCACCUAGAGCUCCUUUUGUGUUCUCUGGAAGCGCGGCCCCUCUCCCCCUACCCCUCACUCCUUCCGUGAAGCACCUGGUUCCCGGAGCCGACAGCAUCCCCUCUGCCCUGCGCCCCUCUUCCGCAGCUCCGGGCGGAGAACCGACUGUCCGCAGGCCGUGGCAACCCCCUACAUGUCCACCAGAUGGCGCUCCAGGCCAGGGGCCGAGCGGCGGCCGGACAGCCCGCCCCCGGGCUGCAGCCUACCUUGGACCCAGAGCCGCGGCAGGAUCCGCUCCGAGACUGGGCCGCAGGCCCAGGGGGUGGACGCAGGCCGCUGAGAGAUCGAGGCGCUCCGCGCACCCGAAGGAAACUCCAGACAGAGGAGGCAGACACAAGGAUGGGACUGCCCGAGGCUCGGGAUGGGGUCCUGAGCACUUCCGGAACCAGCUGGCUCCAGCUGCCUCCAGCAUCCUUGUGGGAUGUGGUUCCUCCCCCCAUCCAAGCCGGAUUGCACCUUGGUACAAGCUGCGGCAGAGGCGUAGCUUGAUGGAGGGUAGAUUGGGCAGCCAGCACCGCGGUUUAUUCACUGACUGUGACUUCUUCAAAAGAGACAAGGGGAUACUCAUGGAGGACAUUCAGAAAUGCUCAGGAACAAAACGUCAGCGGCGUGUGGGAGUUCACGUGUCACCAUGGUGAGCAGGAGUGCAGCUUAGCAAGGUGGAGGCCUGCUGGUUGGACCAGCUGGAGAACUCGGUCUUCCUGAUCAUUGUCUGCAUGGAGGAAAUGGAUGACAUGGAGAAAAAUCUGAAGCCAUGCCGCCUGCAGAUCUAAGCUCCCAAGGUGUCCCCGGACUCCAUGAUGGCAUGUGCAACGGGAGAUGGUGGCAGGCAGCUGUUAUACACCGAAGCCCAGCUCACAGACGCUCUGCGGCCUCCCCACAAAUACGUGCCCUAGGUUUCCGACAAGGGGAAAUCCAUAAAGGAGAAGGACCAGCUAGCUCUUCAUCUGCUGACUGUAUGUGGAUGAGAUGUCGGAUGUCUGCCAACUCAUAGCCAACUCUCCCAAGGAUGCUUGCUUCAAGUGACAGCUGGUGCCCUGGGAGGGAGCUAAUGCAAGAACAAGAUCUCACCUGCCCCUAGUUUUCUGAUCCUUGACUCAGCAGCCACUGCUUAUCAUCCAGGUAGUUUCUACAUAUUCCAUGAAACCCACACGCAAAACUCUCCCCUGCCUGAGAUCAAGAAUCUUGCCCCACUGUGAAUGGUGCUACAUUAAAAAGAGUUUAAUAGACACUUCUAGCUGUUGUAAUUUUUUUUUAAAUGACAAAUUUAUGUAUAUUAUUUUACUUCAGUAGAAAAAGUUGAGCCAGCAUGUUUCAAAUUCAUAAAAUACCUUUGAUUUGAAUUUUUAAAAGGUUCCUCUCCUUUUGAGUGGAAUUAAGUGAAGUGCUGGCUGAAUU